CUUCUCCUUCCAUGCUUCAUAUCUAUCGGCCAUGUUAUAUAAUUCUUCAGAUUGGUCAUAUCGUACAUUGUAAUUAUUGCGAGGGAAAUUUGGAUACCGCUCUCCUCUUCUAAAGGUAUUAUGUUGAUAAUUAUUCGGUCGUUCAUUGUAUCUUGCGUUGGGUCUGCUACAGUACGGCUGAAGCUCUUCCCAACUAAACGGAAACAAACUGAGGAACGGAUGCCUUAUGAACAGUAGUAGAGGGGCAGUGAUCUGCUCAUGCCCAUUGUUCUAGUUGUUCCACAGUACAGGUUACAAGAGUCUAUUUCAAGUUAAGAGAGUCAAGGAAGAUUCAUAAACACAAUAUGAACACAACAUAGCCGAAUUUUAUAACAAUAUCGUGUUUGGUCUCAUUUUAAUCGAGGAAGUCUUACCAAUAUGUUAAUGGAAUUUUUAUUAACAAAAAAUCAAAGAUAAAAAAAUUACAUUAUUGUAUUGAUAUUGUCUCACCGAUACGAAGGCAAUAUAAAUCUUAAAAGAGAAACCAUUACCGCGUCACAUUACUCGCAUCACUGAUUCAAUUGUAACCACCCCUAUUUUUCGGAUGAUUGAAUAAUAAUCAAAAAACAAAAAAACUGUUUUUGAAAUGUUGAAACACGUAAAUAAAAUCAUUAAAUUUGGGAUUUCUGUCAAAUAUUAGCAACUAAAUACGUGUACUUUUUCAUCAUUAUGAUAUUAAGUGUUUAAUGUUAAUUAUGUUUUCAUUGUUUAUUCUCUUUUUGUUAUUCGUCAUUCGAAUAAAUUUUGGUUGCUAAUUGGAAUAAGUUUAUAAACUGACAACUUACAAGCAGAAACAAUAACGUGGCGAUAAGCUGAUGGUGCCAUGGACUAGGAUUACGGAAAGGGAAAGGUUUUGCCGGGUCUUUGUAAAGUGCUAGUGUAAAUUGCUUGCUAAUUCGAGCCAAAUGGGCUUUCCCCAAAUGGGUUUUAUUGGGAACGGUUUUUGUAGGUACAAGUACAGGUACAAAUGUAGGUAACGAUAUUUGUAUAGAACCAUUUUUCACGUGACUGGGCCGGUUUAGCCUGCCAAUAAAAACAGUUACAUAUAAAUACAUUUUUUUUUUAUUUAGUUGUUUACAUUCACAAUUUGUCCGAUUUAGACAUUUGAUAGAAUUGAUAUAAAUACAUUGAAGCAAAUGUCCUUGGGUCGGUAUAACUUGCUAAGGAUAUCAGAGGUCAUCGUAGGCAAACAGACCCCAACAUUUAGAAAUUGCGAUGUCUAGCGUAUUCGGGUAUUCUUUGUAGAAUUAUUAAGCGAGUGAAUGGAAUAGACUAUCCUGCGCAUAUUCUACCAUCCUGGUUAAACGUGGCUUUUCAAAUAAAUCGGUAUGCAUUUAUAAUAAUAUCUAAAUUAUAUUCCCUUGAAUUCGCUUACAUAUUUGCCCAGUAUUUUUUAUUUCAUUCAGUUGGGAAACGUAUUAUACUCGUAAUUCUGUUGAUAUAGAAUAAGUUUGAGCAAAUGCACAAAUUGAACUCAAUCUCUUCGAUUUCAAUGGUAAUUUUUUUUAAUAUGUGACGAUUCCAAAUAACAUAUUCUUAUAUAUAUAACGAAUGCGGAAAACUGUAUUAAUUGCAAGAAUUUCAGGACACAAGUUUUGCGCAUGAGAAUACUAACUACUCCCUGUGGAAAGCAAUCAAAAAAACAGACAACACACAGGCUGGAAGCAACGAAGAGCGAGCUGAAAAAUUUUCCAGCCACCUUUGUGACACAUUUACUCCAUAUAAUAUUAACAACACUAACUCCAAGUGUCAUACAGACGUUGACGCAGGAAAUACUAGCAUCUCAACUAACAAGCACUACACCAUACCUAGUACAACAGCACAAAAAAUUAGAAUCAUAAUCAAGCACCAGGAAUCGACCUAAUCAAUGGUAAAAUCUUUAAAAACCUUCCCCUAAAAGCAAUACGAUUAAUGACAAUAACGUUCAAUGCAAUUUUAAGAAUUCAAUACUUUCCUACGAAAUACUUUCCUAUGAAAGCCUCUUACAAACAAUCAAAAAACAUUUCCCGGAACAUAUCUUCCACUUAUUCAAAUCAUACCUAAGCAAUGGAACCUUGGUAAUAAAAAUAAGGGACGGUUACUCUGAAGUUAAAGACCUCAAGGAAGGGGUGCCGCAAGGAAGCGUCUUAGGACCAAUGUUAUAUAUACUACACACGGCCAACAUGCCAACAACUAUCAACAGCCAAAUUCUGAUAUUCGAGGACGUUUACCGAAUGUCCAGCUGGACAAAUUGUAAAACACAAACUAAAAAUAAAAAAAAACAAGUUUUGCAAUUAUACAGAUGUAGAAACGACUCUAUUUCUGAAAAUUGAGAUCUUAAAUGCCGAACUUAGAAAAUGAUAUUGAGGAUAAAAGAGAUAGAGGGACCGAGGGAGUUGAAAGACAAAACUUCCGGAAACAUGUCGGAGAUGGAAGGACAUCGGACCUUCCCCUGGAACUCCGGGAAAAUCCGUAAAAUCGUAAUUAAAGUUUACAGUUGUAAUUAAACAAUUUGCUGUCAUUCUGCCCAAUUGUACUUGUUUGCGAUUUGUGAUAAUAAACUUGGGCUCAAGGCGACCAUCAGUCGCCGAACGUAGCCACGGUCAACGGGACGGGCUCUCCGUCUAACAAAGGUGCGGAGCGGUGUUAUGACCCUCAUUAAAGGAUCUACCCAUAGAGGUAUCGGACAGUAAAAUAUGCUAAUGGUUCCUUAGGACAAUGAAUACCUGAUGUUGAGGCACGUACAUAGCACAAGUCUGGUUAGCCCGAGGACCCGCCAUAAAACCUGGGUUUUUCGGCAAUUAAGAUUUGUGCAAACGGACAGGCACCUUUUGUCUGAAAUCGAUCAAUCGACAGCGACGUCGAUCCCAGGAUCUUGUACUUAGACACCCUACCAUAGCUGGCCUCGGUAGCGUCAUUGGGACGAGAAUUCAUUCUUUCUCGAGAUCUCAUCGGCGAAGGGAGUAGUACACGUUUGAGUUAGAGCAAGUAUACCUACCCUCCCGUUGACCGUGGAUUCGUUAUCGAAUCUAAGACCAUUAUCACUAGUGUCCCGAGUGCCUAAUCGCCGCUGUUGAUUGUCGAAUCGGUAGUGUUCAUACUCGUUGUAUCAGGCCGUAUCUUCGUUAUAACACAACGCUGGCCAACUCCAAGAGAGGUCUAUCAAACGCCUACAACCCUGUUCCUCACUCUUCUCCGACACAUAUAAAGGCCCAAAGACAUAUAAAGACAAACUGAGAUCUUUGAGUCAUAGCUUAAACAAUCUUUCCUUUUUCUUAUUUGUGAUAGUUAAGAAAUGCAAGCGACUAAAUUUAUGAUACAACAUUUUAUGUUUAGUUCGCAAUUCAGCUAAUUUACUUAGCAGGCCGGCCUACAGUUUACAGGGGUCACUUAGUGAAAAUUCGUUUGUUAGGGAUCGGUCAUUAUUCAUUUCCUUGCUAGCAAAAUAUUAUAAAGCCUAAUUGGUUUAGCCUACGGGCCUAACGGUUUUCGUUUUCUUGUAAUCCCAGAUUUUAAGCUGGCAAAAUCACUCUGUUAUUAAGCCGCCGUUUACUAGCGACCAGUUUCUUUAUCCCAGUAAGUAAUUAGUUUUAUUAGUCGGCACAAAACGGUGCAAACGCCAACCAACCUCGAAAAAUCACAACAUUCGAUCAACCACAGGGAAUAAACAGUGAUGAAUGAAACUUUUACCACCAUAUUUGUUACAUUUUUCUAAUUAAAAUAAAACCAAACACCAUAUAAUUUGGAGCACAUUUGCUUACUUAAUAAAUAAAAAUUGAAUACAUUUUCUCAACGCGAGAAUUGAUUGUAAUUUUAAUAAAUAAAUAAAAAAAAAAUACAUAUCAAUCAGGAAAUGUAAUUCAAAGUAUAUCGUAUUUGGUUUUCUUUUAUUCAGGAAGAUCUCACACACACGUUAAUAAAAGUUUAAUUUAGAAAAAGUAAAAAAUAAAGAAGUUUUAUUUUUGAAUUUAUAUUUACAUACUUUGUCUCAAGGAUGUCUGACAUUGGAUCAUGUUAAAUUGUUACGAGGAUAUACGCAAAGACUUAAAACUACCAACGGUCAAAGAAAAAAUCGGCAGGUACGCAAAAAAAUACAAGGAAAGGACGGCAACACAUCCAAACCAGCUGGCUGCUGAAGCGAGCAAAACUCUCAUAGAAAGAAGACUAAAAAGAAAAAACCCCGCUGACCUUACUAAA